rnacentral:rRNA from 1 species
UACGUAGGGGCAAGCGUUGUCCGGAUUCAUUGGGCGUAAAGCGCGCGUAGGCGGUUACGCAAGUCGGUUGUGAAAAUCCGGGGCUCAACCCCGGACCUGCAUCCGAUACUGCGUGACUAGAGGUAGGUAGGGGAGAUCGGAAUUCCUGGUGUAGCGGUGAAAUGACGCAGAUAUCAGGAGGAACACCGGUGGCGAAGGCGGAUCUCUGGGCCUUACCUGACGCUCAGGCGCGAAAGCGUGGGGAGCGAACAGG